GGAAUCAUGGCUGCAACGGAGUGCUUUGCGCACGGGCUGAAGGAAGAG
rnacentral:ncRNA from 1 species